UCGUAAGGGUCUACAGCACAAAAACUAUUCAGUUUACACAGCUUGGGAACAUUUGCCUACUAAAUAACAAGCAAUGGGUAGCUCUUGUUUGUAUGAUUCUUCAAAAACCUGUGAGGCAUUAUAGGAAUGCUAGGCACCGUUAUUAUUUCAGAAUGAGUCGAUGUAAUUAAACUUGUGGCAGAAGGCACAGCAGUCCACUUUUACUAUUACAUUUUCUCCCAAUGUCUAAAUGAUCAUUCAGUUAUGCUUUCAUUAUUUGAGCUAUUUACAUUUAGAGUCAAAAAACAAAGGUGUUCUUGGAUAUUUGAACUGAAUAAUAUUAACACUCAAUGGAGGGAAGGCUGGGAGCUGUCAAUUCUGUCCUUUUUUUUUUUUCCCGGUUUUGGAUUUAAAUAAUGUGGUGGAUUGGAUUUGGAUUUAAAUAUUGUGGUUACCAAACUGACUUUAGGCCAUGGGAAAAUUUCUGCAGAAUGGACAAGUUUGAAGAUGGGAUCUUCUGUCUGUUCCUUUGGCUGGAGAUAAGAUUUUUGAUUUAGUUCCGUCUAUAUGUACAUUCCCUUCCAUCGUAUAAGCCUUGCAAUAGCUCUGUACAUGGGAAGAGUAAGUUCUCUGUUGUCUGUCAAAAGAGAGAUUAUACAGAAUCAGUGGCUGAAAAUCCUUAUUGAAACCAGGGCAGGACCACUGCCUGCAAAGUACAUAGGCUGUGAUUAUACCCGUCUUGGCAAUACAUGGGUAUAGUCCUGACAGCCUACCCAGCAUCAUUCUGGAGCAUGUAUUUGAGAUCCUCCUUAUGAAACAGUCAUAGAAAAUCCAUCUAGGCGUACUCUGGAUUUUUUUUCAGUGCCAACUUAAAUGACCACUGGAGGAGGACAUGUUCUUUACAUUUUUCUUUACAUUUUUCUUGACAUGAUCUUAACACUGAAAACAAAUCUGUGCUUGCUUUGUGUUUAACAACAACACUGAAGGAAAGAAAGAAGGAAGGAAAAAGAGGAAGAAAAGAAGGACAUCCAUAUACCUCCGUAGUGUCCUAACAGGAUGUUGGAGGAUAUCUGGCAAAGUGCCUUCUUGGGAUACUUAGCAAGACUACCAAUAUACUGCAGCAGCAGGGUGAAGGCGCUUCAGUCGGCAAAGCUGGAUGUCGUGCCGUCACAGCAAGACCACUUCAACAGCAGUGGCCAGGCACUUCGACAGAUGAACUGGUAUUUUCCAGCAACGUGGGCUGAAAAAGCAGUCUGAAACAUUCAAGGAAAACUGAUUUGAGGGGAGGCACAUAAGUCUCUAGCACCACAGAUGUAAUUUCUGAGUUAUUUAACAUUGAAGAAAGCUGAAGAAAACACUACCACACAGCAACACCAGGUGGAACUAGGAGAAGAGGGAAGAAGGCAAGAAAAGGAAGAUCCUCCUUAGUUUGCCAAGUUUUCUGAAGAAAUACCUUUUCCAAGCGCAGUCUUGGCAGAAAAUGACUUAUUUACUUAUAUUUCACUAAUUAUCAGCUUCUCUGGAUUCAUACAAAAUUAACGGGCUGAUUGGCUCUUUAAAGCAAAGAAGCAAACAAUCUAUUCAGAAAUAAUCACUAUGAUAACUCAACCUAAUAUGAUAACCCAGCUCGACACCUCCCUUUUCAGGCAAAAAGCUAGUGGCAAGGCGUAAACGUUCCUCAUGCUGUGCUCUAAUUACCUUAUAUUUUAGAAAAGCUGAACACUUUGUAGCUUUUGCUGAGGUCAACUGAAACUGGUGGCUGCUGCCUGCCUUUGUGAAGGAGGUUAUACAUGUCAACAAGCCCUGUCAAAAUAGCAGAGGAAAUGAAUCACAUGGUGAAAGGCCACAGUUUCUCUCUCGGAAAUAGUUAAUUCAGCUGCCUAACAUGAAAGAAGAAGGUUUUUCACCUAGUAGAUACCAUUGCAAUGCAAGUCCCCGUGGAUCAAUAGUUACCCCCUAAUUUGCACUUAAGCCCGGAAUAGGAAAUCACCCUCAGCCAUAGCGAGAUGCUGCCUACGCAUUUUGCAGAGGGCAAGAAGCCAAAGACAAUGCUGAAGGGAAGUUUCAGAGCAGCCCCCGCUUCUUGCCUCAUAGAGAGACAUCAGAGGAGGAGGUGCUUGGUGGUGGCAGCUCCAAACCUUCUCCCUCCUCAGUAAAUAGGAGUGCUGUGCAUCCACCUGUAUGGAGAGAAAUCCUAUGAGGAAGUACUUCAGAUCUGGUAGCGUUAGCUUUGGCUUCUAUGGGAAACACACCUGCCAGAUCCUGAGAGCUGUGGGAUUCAGCAGAGGGCGACGAAAUCUGCCACUGCUGUUCAAGUCUCCUUGUGCUUAUUUUCAUAAACUUAUAUGAGUUUUAAUAACCAUUUAGGUAUCACUGUUAACCUUCAAGCGACUCCCCAUGUUAAAGUACUAAGAUUUCUUGCAUUAUGCUGAUGAAAACAUUAAGAUGCAAAACUUUAAAGUUCUGUUUCUGUUUAAUCAGAAAUAUUGAAUGAAAAAAUUAUGUAUAAAAUGUAUUGUCCGUAACACAGUAAUAAGUCAAGUGUUCUGUGCCCACAACUCAAGGUGAUUUUCUUACACAUCAUAUUUACAUGGAGGCAUUCAAAAUUUCUGGGUAGAGCAGAGUGAUCACUGGCCCUGGAGAUUUUGUGUGUGUGUAUCCCCUUCACAAAUCAGCAUUCACUCCUCAUACACUUCUCUGGGAUUUACCUUCCUCAUGAGCAUUACAAUCAGAGCACUUAUUUGCUAGUUCGCUUACAGAAAGAAAACACAAAAAGGUCUUGAAUGCAAUCAAAGCACAUUUUCUUUGAUUUGCAGAAAUAUUCACUAUGCACACAGCUAUUUACCAAAAAGAAAAAAAAAAAAAAAAAGUGUUUCUUUCAACCAUGUUAAUUUUUCCUAUUUUUAUUUCCCACUGAGAAAUCAGAUUGUAAUAGUUUAUAACUGGAAGGCCAGUCAACAUUGCCUUACCCCUUCCGUAAUAAUUCACCCUUGUGCAAAAAAACAUUAAUGGGGAGCAGCAGAGCAGCAUUUAUACCUCAUUUGCAGACCAUAUAUUAUACUGACCUGAGUGCUGUGGAUUAGGUUUUCCACCCCAUAAUUUAAAACUGAACAUAAUCAAUAAAAUUACGGACUCUGUAACAUUGCAGACCACAUUUGCAUGUUGUUGGUGCUACUGUGUGUUGUAAAAACCUGCACAAGCAGGAAAUGGUGGUGUAAGAAGUCAAUAGAUGUGAGAGAGGAUCUUCUUUCCCUCAGCAAAAGCAUAACAUAAACUGCUUGCUCCAAAAUUCAGGCUGGGAACUCACCUCUACUGCAUGAAUGUAGAAUGUGAUAGGAGUGUUUAUAGCCUAACAGUGAUUUACAAUAAGCACGCAAGUAGCAGCAAUUAAUAAAUAUGACUAGAAAAUGAUAUGUUCUGGUCAGAAGUCAGGUUGCUGUUCAGGAGCAACACCAUCCCGUGAUUUUUUUACCAAGGCACACAACCAAAAUGUGCAAAGGCAAUGUAACGUGGACCUCUGUGGCAGUGGGGCUGUACUGGCUUAAUUGAUUUAUAAUGAGUCAAGCUGCCUGUUUAUGCAAAUGGAACAGCCAAGUCCUGUGAUAUUAACAUCGUGUGCCAAACUGCUAAAAAUAUUUCUGACAAAAUGAGCUGGGAAAAGUGAUAAAGCUUUACUGCUUCCUGCUUUUACUUUCAGUGUGUUCACAAAUAUUAAUAAUAUGCUAAAAUGCAGCACUUGGGGUAUAAAGGUGUCCCCCCAGCUUCGUAACAGACAGGAGAAGGACAGUUUCCCAUCAAAGACUGUGACUCUUCAAGAUGUGCUGCCCAGAUACAUGUAUCUGAAGAUGCAGAUGAUCUCCAGGUGUAUGAGGGAAGAUGCAGAAGGGGCAACCACAUCCUUCACCACUGCAGAGGCAGGAUGCUGGAGGCAGUGGGCAAAACAGAUCCCAGGAGCUGCUGGCUUUUGAAGAACUGACAAAAAGGAGACGUUUCAAGCAAAUUUGAUGUUUCAGCUAUUCCAGCCUUGUUUGUGCUCACACAGAGAUCAGUAGACAUCUCUAAAGUGUUGGCUGGGCACACCAGCAAGGCAUUUUCCCAGCUGUGGAGAAGCACUGAAUAGCAGCAUGUACUGAUGCAUCAGUAUCUUGAAAAUACCUGAGACACAAACCUGUGCUGUCAGCUGCUGUCUGUGGGGUCAGGUCCCUUUUGGUGGACUCAGGCAAAGCAGCCUCCACAUAUCUUGGGGUAAAAAAAAAAGGUACGAACAGUUGAACUCUUUCCUGGCAAAAGAAAAAUGAGGCCUAGUACCUCCAGGCGGAUUAUAUGAGAAGUGAGGCUCAGUUUGGCUUUUUCUAUUUUUUUUUACAGAUUGAUGAAGGAAGCAUCUCCGC